UUAGAUCGUACCCAAGUUACUUGGAUAACUGUGGUAAUUCUAGAGCUAAUACAUGCCGACAGAGUUCCGACCGUCGCGGUGCCUCCGGGCGUCGCGUGCGGGAGGAACGCUUUUAUUAGAUCAAAACCGGCCCGUCGCGGCGCGCCUCGCGCGCGUCCCGAUCGCGGCCCGCGCAAAGACCUGGUGACUCUGAAUAACUUCGAGCUGAUCGCACGGUCUCCGUACCGGCGACGCAUCUUUCAAAUGUCUGCCUUAUCAACUGUCGACGGUAGGUUCCAUGCCUACCGUGGUGGUAACGGGUAACGGGGAAUCAGGGUUCGAUUCCGGAGAGGGAGCCUGAGAAACGGCUACCACAUCCAAGGAAGGCAGCAGGCGCGCAAAUUACCCACUCCCGGAACGGGGAGGUAGUGACGAAAAAUAACGAUACGGGACUCAUCCGAGGCCCCGUAAUCGGAAUGAGGACACUUUAAAACCUUUAAACGAGGAUCAAUUGGAGGGCAAGUCUGGUGCCAGCAGCCGCGGUAAUUCCAGCUCCU
rnacentral:rRNA from 1 species